GGAUGGGUGGCCGAGCGGUUGAAGGCACCGGUCUUGAAAACCGGCGAAGCAGCGAUGUUUCCGUGGGUUCGAAUCCCACCCCAUCCGCCA
rnacentral:tRNA from 1 species